rnacentral:rRNA from 1 species
GAUGAACGCUGGCGGCGUGCCUAACACAUGCAAGUCGAGCGAAGCACUUAAAUUAGAUUUCUUCGGAAUGACGAUUUUUGUGACUGAGCGGCGGACGGGUGAGUAACGCGUGGGUAACCUGCCUCAUACAGGGGGAUAACAGUUAGAAAUGACUGCUAAUACCGCAUAAGACCCCAGCUUCGCAUGAAGCGGUGGUAAAAACUCCGGUGGUAUGAGAUGGACCCGCGUCUGAUUAGCUAGUUGGUAAGGUAACGGCUUACCAAGGCGACGAUCAGUAGCCGACCUGAGAGGGUGACCGGCCACAUUGGGACUGAGACACGGCCCAGACUCCUACGGGAGGCAGCAGUGGGGAAUAUUGCACAAUGGGGGAAACCCUGAUGCAGCGACGCCGCGUGAAGGAUGAAGUAUUUCGGUAUGUAAACUUCUAUCAGCAGGGAAGAAAGUGACGGUACCUGACUAAGAAGCCCCGGCUAACUACGUG